rnacentral:rRNA from 2 species
AGGUGCGAUCAUACCAGCACUAAUGCACCGGAUGCCAUCAGAACUCUGCAGUUAAGCGUGCUUGGGCGAGAAUAGUACUAGGAUGGUUGACCUCUUGGGAAGUCCUCGUGUUGAACCUC